rnacentral:lncRNA from 1 species
GUAGAUUCUUUUUAACCAUUCCAUAAAGAAAACUUUCUUCAUAGAUUUUUCUUUAUUUAUUGAUUUUUUAUAAUAAGUCAAAUUACAUAACAUAAUUAAGACGGUAGGAGUAAUUAAUAAUCAACCAGUCUUAGGAGAAGCUGGUUUCACUAGAGGUGUUGCUGUUUUAGCUCUUGUUUCAUGUAACACUGGUCCUUGUGUGUUUUUUGUUUCAUUUCCCUGUAAUAUUUCAAGAAAAUGAUCUUCAUUAGCUACAAAAUUAUAUUGCAUGAAAAAAUGUGUUUUUCUAAUCCAUACAUCUUAGACAUAUAUAUUAUUUUUAUGCCAUAAUUUCAUUUGUUUUUAGUUAGUUAAAAAAUAACUUUUUUUUAUAUAUAUUUAGCUUGUAUUUCAACGUAUAAUAUGAAGUUAUGAAUUUAAAAUAGUGUUUGGGCAUUCAAUUUGAGUUCAUGAUUUCAAAUCUCAAAUUUCCAAAAUGCAUGAUUUAGAAUUUUAAAUCAUGAUUUCAAAUCUUUUAUAUUGUAAAACCUGACCUAUAAAUUAUAUUUUGUAAAUAAAAGAAUAGACUCAUAAAUUUUAAAUUUGCCAAAAAAGACUAAUACGUGAAGAGGUUAUUCUUACCACGUGAUAAGAUUAUAUUAAAGAAUAACUAAGUAAUUACAAUUAUUAUUGAUUUGUGGAUAAUUAUAAAAUUAUGUAUAUAAUUAUGCCCUUUUACUUGGGUUCGAAUCACAUUUAUGUCCUUCAACUUUGGGUGUGCACAAGUAAAUACUUAAACUUGUAUAAAGUUGAACAAAUAAACACAUGUGUCCUACAUGUCAUUUUUUGUCCUACGUGAUGUCCUACGUGUAUUGUGUCAUGUAGGACUCAUGUGUUUAUUUACUUAAAAGUUAUAUAGUUGAAGUGUCUGUUUGUGCAUUAUGAAAGUUGGAGGUCAAAGUUAAAAUUUAAAGCCAAAUUUAGGGUUCAAUAUAUAUAUUAUGCCUUAAAAGUUUAUAGAAAGGAUAUCAAUAUAUGUGAUUUAUCAAUUAUUCAUCAUGUUUGAAUAUUUUGGUAUUUAUUUAUGAAUUAACGUUUGCUCAUAUGGGAACAUUGUAUAAACAUUAGAAAAAAUCUGAUAGUUUUUACAAGGCAUAAUACAUAAAUGUGCUCUUUAAUUUGACUUCAAAUCACAUUUAUGUCUCUUAAUAUUGGAUGUGCACAAAUAGACACUUAAGCUUAUAUAAAGUUGAACAAAUAGACACACAUGUCCUACAUGUCAUUUUUUGUUCUACAUGGUGUCCUACGUGUAUUGUGUCAUGCAGGACUCAUGUGUUUAUUUAUUUGAAAGUUGGAUAGUUAAAGUGUCUGUUUGUUCAUUAUGAAAGUUGAAAAUCAAAGUUAAAUUUGAAGCCAAGUUUAAAGUCUAAUAUAUUUAUUUUGCCUUUUUUACAACUUGUAAGGUUUGCAUGCUGUUUUCGUUUUUGGGUGGAAGGGGUGGAUGUUCAUAAAUAAAAUAUAACUUAAAGAAAAUCAAAUUUUAUAUAUUCAAAUAAACUUCAACAUCAUAUAAAUCUGAUUUUUAUCAUAUGUCCAAACAUGCCCUUAGUAUUAAUCUAGAAAAUUUUCUAAUUUUCCCAUAUUUAAUUGAACAAAUUUUUUUGAAACAUAUUUUUUCAGAGAAAAUAAGUUGCCUAAAUAUAAAUGAGGAAAACGCCAUUCUUUUAAGAUAAAACAGUUUCUAUAACCAACCUUCUAUAUUUAUUGUAUCUUCCGCAUCCAUUUAAUGCCUUCAACAUGAUCAUUACAAAAUGUUUUUGAAAUAACAUCUAUUUUUACUUAUCAAACACUAGAAAUAAGUUAAAAAAUAAUAAUUUAUUUUUUUAAAAAAAAAAAUCGUAAAAAAUAUUCCCUUCAAAUCAAAUACAUGCACCCUAAGUUUCUCAUUUUAUUUUUAGUAAUAAUUUAUAGUCAUGUAAAAUAAUUUUAAUCCCUUGUAGAGCUUCAUAACAUGAAGGUAAUUUUAAACUAUACUCUAAAAGUUAAAAGUAAAUAUUGACUAUUUUUCUGAAAAAAAAAUUAAUCCCUAAUAGAGCUUCAUAACAUGAGGGUAAUUUUAAACUAUACUCUAAAGUUGAAUAGUAAAUAUUGAAUAUUUUUCCCUAAAAUAUUGACACAUAGGUCCACCCAUUUACGUGUUGGAGCUUUAUUAGUGUUAAAGAUAAAUACAAAAUAAUUUGCUAACAGAUAAGGAUAUAUGAAUCAACAGUUUAACGAAUAGUAAAAUUAAAUAUUUUUUUAUAAAAAAAAAACACAAAGGAAAUUGAGGAGGAGGAAACUUACACCCACACUUUGUUCUACGAUGUUACCUGAAAUGUUAAAAGUUGAAUUAAUACAUCAAAAUUCAGAGCCAUAGAAGGAUUUAAAUUCUACUUCCUCUUUCUCAAUUUUAUGCGUAAUUUUGAAAAUCAAAUUUUUUAAUUUUACUCAUGAAUUUGAAUAUAAAAUUAUGUGAAAAGUAUAAUUAAACAUAACAAUUAAUAAUUUUUAAAAUAUUUAAAUACAUAUUUUAAAUUACGAUGAAGAAAAAAUUUAUUUAAUUCACAAAAUUUAAAUACUAUCACAUGAAUUGAAACGGAAAAAAUAUGAAAUUGUACUCUCUAUUUUUACCAUUAGCAGGUUUUGCAGAUGUAGUGAGGGAUUGACCUUGGAACCUGUUGGACAUAUCUACAAUGACAAUGAACCUCUCCAUAUUUUCAAUUUUGUUUACCAAUGACUAAGAUUAAGC